GGAGAUGUUGCUCAGUGGUAUAGCACUUGCCUAGCAUGCAUGAGGUCUUAGGUUCAAUCCCCAGCACUGCUA
rnacentral:tRNA from 1 species